UGAGUACGUGCUUACAACAGAUGAAAGAGAGAGAGUCACCAAUAUACUAACAAUAAUCACCUCUGAAACAUGGGAUUUCAGGGGAAAAAAUAACAUGAGACCCUAUAGUGAAAUGGAACAUCUAUAGAUUUUGAAGCUAGAGAGGACAGAUUGAACAGUGCUUCUGUGAGGACUUGGGAAAUCAAUUAUCUGCUUUAACCUGACUGAUCUCAUCUUGUAAAUUUUUAUGAGGAUUACAUAAGAGUAUGUAAAGAACAUGCCAUGUCAGAACUUGUCAAGUCCUCAGGAUAAGAUGCUGUUUCAAAAUUGAUUAGUUCUCCGACCCGCCCACUGGAAUCAUCCAACCUAUUGAAGAAGCAGAAUGGGAUGUGGAUUAUAGGGUUUCAGAUAACACCAAGUCCCUUGUGAAAGGAAGCUAGUGGAGAAUAUUCAGCAACAUGGGAGAAAGAAGAAGACCUGGAUUUCAGAAAACAGACUCCAACACAUGAGGACAAUGAAGGGAAAUCCAGGUUUACAGCUAUGCAACAGCCUAGAAAGCAACUAGUCCAGAUGUAAACAAGAGGAAAGAUGGCUUCGGGAGAUAUAACUCAGGGCAGGAGCUUGAACUGUCCUACUGUUUAGAACUGUGUUUUAAUAUAUUGUUCUAUAAUUAAAAGGUG